GAAUAUUUGAUAAUGGAAUUUUCGUCGAUAACAAUUUUUCAUCGAAAUCGAUCUUUUUCUAGUCGAUAUUCGAAAAGUAAUGACAGUAGGUGGUUUUGAAAAUGACGAAAUCGUGAAUUAGAUUUUAUUGGAUAA